AUGGCUUCAGAUCUAGUGAACAUUAAGGCUAUCGAGUGCCUUAGUUGUUGUGACUUCUUCUUCAAUGGAUACUACGAAGGUCGACAUUAUGAUAAUGGUUGGCCAGAGAUGCUCAAACUGAAGGACUGGCCUACUUCGAAUCAAUUUGAAGAGCUUUUACGAAACCAUGGAGAAAUGUAUACAAUUUCAUUACCUCUCCAACCAUACACCAACCCGAAUUUUGGCUUCUUUAAUAUUUCAACUUUCCUUACUAACGACCUGCAGGUUGAUUUGGGCCCAAAAUCAUACAUAGCAUACGGUAUUUCAGAAGAGCUUGAACGAGGAGAUUCUGUUACCAAGCUUCAUUGCGACAUGACUGAUGCGGUAAGUGAGAUAGAUAAGUGUACGACUAUAACCCUGGAGGGUAAAGAGGGUGCUCUCUGGGAUAUAUUCAGAAGAGAGGAUGUCCCACGAUUGAAAGAAUAUUUGAGAGAGCACUCCAAAGAAUUUCGUCAUGUACAUUGUUCUCAAGUUAAAAAGGUGUAUAACCCAGUGCACGACGAAACAUUUUACCUAACACAACAGCACACGAGAAAGCUUAAAGUUGAUUAUGGUGAGUUGUAG
rnacentral:rRNA from 1 species